rnacentral:rRNA from 1 species
GACGAACGCUGGCGGCGUGCUUAACACAUGCAAGUCGAGCGAACCUUCGGGUUAGCGGCGAACGGGUGAGUAACACGUGGGCAACCUGCCCCGAGCUCUGGGAUAACUCCGGGAAACCGGGGCUAAUACCGGAUAUGACACCGACCGACAUCAGUCGGUGUGGAAAGAUUUAUCGGCUCGGGAUGGGCCCGCGGCCUAUCAGCUUGUUGGUGGGGUAACGGCCCACCAAGGCGACGACGGGUAGCCGGCCUGAGAGGGCGACCGGCCACACUGGGACUGAGACACGGCCCAGACUCCUACGGGAGGCAGCAGUGGGGAAUAUUGCGCAAUGGGCGAAAGCCUGACGCAGCGACGCCGCGUGAGGGAUGAAGGCC